CACGUAGGAGGCGAGCGUUGUCCGGAAUCAUUGGGCGUAAAGAGCGCGCAGGCGGCUUGGCAAGUCGGGUGUGAAAUCCCGGGGCUCAACCCCGGGACUGCAUUCGAUACUGUCAGGCUAGAGGUAGGUAGGGGAGAUCGGAAUUCCUGGUGUAGCGGUGGAAAUGACGCAGAUAUCAGGAGGAACACCGGUGGCGAAGGCGGAUCUCUGGGCCUUACCUGACGCUCAGGCGCGAAAGCUAGGGGAGCGAACAGG
rnacentral:rRNA from 1 species